rnacentral:rRNA from 1 species
UACGGAGGGGGCUAGCGUUGUUCGGAAUUACUGGGCGUAAAGCGCACGUAGGCGGCUUUGUAAGUUAGAGGUGAAAGCCCGGAGCUCAACUCCGGAACUGCCUUUAAGACUGCAUCGCUUGAACGUCGGAGAGGUAAGUGGAAUUCCGAGUGUAGAGGUGAAGUUCGUAGAUAUUCGGAAGAACACCAGUGGCGAAGGCGACUUACUGGACGACUGUUGACGCUGAGGUGCGAAAGCGUGGGGAGCAAACAGG